UUAAAAGAAUAUUGGCAGAAAAACAGCCCUAGAGUUCCAGCAGGAGCGAACAGGAACAGGAAAACAAAUGGCAGUAUCCCUGAGACAGCCACUUCUGGUGGUUGCCAGUCACCUGGGGAUUCAGCAACAGGUUUCCACAGGGAAGGCCCUACAUCAUCUGCUACCCUGAAAGAUCUGGAGAGCCCGUGCCAAGAACGAGCAGUAGUCCUGGAUUCAACGUCCGUAAAAAUCAGUCGACUGAAGAACACCAUCAAAUCUUUGAAACAACAGAAGAAACAAGUGGAACAUCAGCUGGAAGAAGUAACGUGAUUUCGUUUCCUCGCGACAUGACUGCUGGGUUUGGGGGGCACUCAGACAUAGAGGCCCCAGUCUCGUCUCACCCACUCCCAGCCUGGGGAAGAAGGCUCACCCUCAGAUUCCACCCCAUCCCCACAGGGCCCCUGAUAACCUGGUCCCAUGGGUGGGCCUGUCCUGGGGCAUUGGUGGCAUUCUGGGGGCAUGUCUCUUGCUGUGCCAUCUCUGCCUCCCCCUGGUAAGAGCUCUGUCUUCCUCUUCCUACAGGAAAAGAAAGCAAACAACGAGAGACAGAAAGCUGAAAGGGAGCUAGAGGUUCAAAUCCAGACAUUGAUCAUACAGAAAGAGGAACUAAAUACGGACCUGUGCCACAUGGAACGUUCUCUCAGAUACUUUGAAGAAGAGUCCAAGGACCUGGCUGUCCGCCUGCAAUAUUCAUUGCAGUG
rnacentral:sRNA from 1 species